AAAUGGGUCGGUCGAAAAAGGUUUAUCGUAAGGAGUCAGCUGAGGUCAUAGUAGUUGUCAUGCCUAGACAAUGAAGGAC
rfam:Erysipelotrichaceae bacterium MTC7 Contig_14, whole genome shotgun sequence.